rnacentral:lncRNA from 1 species
GUCAGUCUCUUUGGUUUAACUCCACUGUGAGUCAGUGACAGCAGGACUGUAUUUCAUCACUGUGAGCCAGAAGAGUUUAGCAAAGAGGAAAAGGAAGAGGUGGAGCUGUUUGUUUAUAUAUAUAUAUAUAUAUAUAUAUAUAUAUAUAUAUAUAUAUAUAUACACACACACACCUCACUGCGUCUCUGACUGCUGAAGAAUGUACAGAUUCACAGGAGCGAGAGUUUUAUCAUCAGUGAAGAUGAUUAAGACCCUUCUCUUCUUCACAAUCUGUCUGAUUAAAGGUCACAUGGGUGAUGAUGCUGAUGCUGUCACUGGCAUCUCAGGAGGAAGUGUCAUCAUUCACUGUCUAUAUAACCCUGAAACAACUAAAGAAAGUGCAAAAAGCUUCUGCAAAGUGUCAGGCAGUGAAUGUACAACCAUGACAGAAGAAAAGAAAGAUUUAUGGAUCCCAGGCGAGAGAUUCUCUCUGACUGAUGAUAAAACUCUGCGUUUGAUUAGUGUGCUCAUUAGAAACCUGACUGUAAACGACAGCGGGACGUACAGAUGUAAAGCUGACAGUAAACUCAUUCAGCAGGAGAAAUUAGAAGUGACAGAAGGUAAGAAUGAAUAUUCACAUUAUUUCAUCUGUCACACCUUUACGUUUAACAUCUUUAUCCUGAGACUUCAUAUUCACCAACACAAUGUUACAUGA